rnacentral:rRNA from 1 species
CCUACGGGUGGCUGCAGUGAGGAAUAUUUGUCAAUGGACGAGAGUCUGAACCAGCCAAGUAGCGUGAAGGAUUACUGCCCUAUGGGUUGUAAACUUCUUUUAUAUGGGAAUAAAACGUUCCACGUGUGGGAUUUUGUAUGUACCAUAUUAAUAAGGAUCGGCUAACUCCGUGCCAGCAGCCGCGGUAAUACUGAGGAUCCGAGCGUUAUCCUGAUUUAUUGGGUUUAAAGGGAGCGUAGGUGGAUUGUUAAGUCAGUUGUGAAAGUUGGCGGCUCAACCGUAAGAUUGCAGUUGAAACUGGCAGACUAGAGUACAGUAGAGGUGGGCGGAAUUCGUGGUGUAGCGGUGAAAUGCUGAGAUAUCAAGAAGAACUCCGAUUGCGAAGGCAGGUCACUGGACUGCAACUGACACUGAGGCUCGAAAGUGUGGGUAUCGAACAGGAUUAGAUACCCGGGUAGUC